GGAUGUUUCCCACCACUACAGUCAGAAGUUUGGGUUUCACUAGGGAUGUUUCCCACCACUAAAGUCAGAAGUUGUCGUAUCACUAGGGAUGUUUUCCCACUCACUACAGUCAGAAGUUGUCAUAUCACUAGGGAUGUUUUCCCACUCACUACAGUCAGAAGUUGUGGUUUCACUAGAGACAGUUUUCAACUCAUCACUACAGCAGAUCAGCACCGACAAUGAAAUCGCCCCCUGAAACACACCCACACCCAGACUCAGACUAACACAACAUUAAGGAUACAAUACUGUCGAGGUCAGUGCAUUGGGCUGGGUUCAUACAAACCUCUCUCUGUCCUCCGUAUUGCUUCCUAAUAGCCUACUGUAGUUCCUAUGGAAAGGAGUGCCUGUCAUGAAAAACAUUUAAAAAAAGAGUUCUCCAUCUUCGUACCUCAGGAAACCCUGUGUGUAUUGUUCUCUCACAGAAAAGAAAGACUGUGCAUAUGCAGCCUACUGAACAAUUCUGUAUCCCAACAGAAUAUUGUCAUGGAUUGCCUACUGUAAUGAUGUUCAGAGACCGAACGUCUCAUAUAGCACCACACAUUCAUUACCAACACUCACUAUCCCCCCAUGCUGAAUGUGAUGCACGGUUCAGGGUUCAGUCAGUGCAGUGGCCAAUCUUGGCAAAACCAAGGAAGGUUCCAUUUGAAGCACCUUACAGGGGUAAACCGAGGAAGGGUCCAUUGAAGCAUCUUACAGGGGUAAACCGAGGAGGGCCCAUUUUGAAGCAUCUUACAGGGGUAAACCGAGGAAGGGUCCAUUUGAAGCAUCUUACAGGGGUAAACCAAGGAAGGGUCCAUUUGAAGCAUUUUUACAGGCGUAAACAAAGGAAGGGGUCCAUUGAAGAAUUUUACCAAAGGGGAAACAAGGAAGGGUCCAUUUGA
rnacentral:lncRNA from 1 species